AUGCUCGCGCUCAUGGGUGCCUAUGCUUCCGGGAGCUCCCGCGACCUCAAGAACUCCAUCUACAUGCUGAUGUUGGUGGUCGCGGUGUCGGUCUCCCUACCCCUACGGUUAGCCAUCUUCUGGUACAUCCGGCCCCACAGGUACAGUAUCCGCCUCCAGGACGGACCUAGAACAAGACGGCAAAGAGUGCGUGGCCUAGGUGGCAUCGACAAGGAGAAAGACGAGGAGAUUGAGUACCUAAUGUUGCUAGGGAUCCUGGCUGCGAGCGUGACGUACCAGAGCGGCCUGAGACCUCCGGGUGGCAUGUGGCAGGAGGACAGCGGCGCCUACUUCGCGGGCAACCCGAUCCUACACGACGUCGUCAAGCGCCGGUACGACAUCUUCUUGUACAGCAACUCUGCUUCGUUCAUGGCGUCCGUCCUCACCAUCGUCAUGCUGCUCCCGUUGACGCUUACCAACCUAGAGUGGCUACGGCGCUGCUUACCAUUCCACGCGGCAGACCUCAAGUGGCCAAUUUGGCCGGUCUACACGGCCAUUCUGCUGGACAUGCUCGGCCUGCUCGUGGCCUACACGGCAGGAAGUACCAGGGAUUGGGAGUCAACCAGGAAUGUCAUAUGCAUCAUUGUCCCCAUACUACUCUACAUUGCGGCUUACGCCGCGGUACCGAUCUGGAUGGACACCCGUAGGAAACAUCCUAGAUCUCCCCAGUCGUUAAGCAUGGAAUCAGGCCGACAAAUGCUGCCCCUGUUUAGUAGCUAG
rnacentral:rRNA from 1 species